rnacentral:rRNA from 1 species
GAUGAACGCUGGCGGCGUGCCUAAUACAUGCAAGUCGAGCGAACGGACGAGAAGCUUGCUUCUCUAAUGUUAGCGGCGGACGGGUGAGUAACACGUGGAUAACCUACCUAUAAGACUGGGAUAACUUCGGGAAACCGUAGCUAAUACCGUAUAAUAUUUUGAACCGCAUGGUUCAAAAGUGAAAGACGGUCUUGCUGUCACUUAUAGAUGGAUCCGCGCUGCAUUAGCUAGUUGGUAAGGUAACGGGUUACCAAGGCAACUAUGCAUAUCCGAACUGAGAGGCUGAUAGGCCACACUGGAACUGAGACAGGGUCCAGACUCCUACGGGAGGCAGCAGUAGGGAAUCUUACGCAAUGGGCGAAAGCCUGACGGAGCGACGCCGCGCGAGUGAUGAAGGUCUUCGGAUCGUAAAACUCUGUUAUUAGGGAAGAACAUAUGUGGAAGUAACUGUGCACAUCUUGACGGUACCUAAUCAGAAAGCCACGGCUAACUACGUG